rnacentral:sRNA from 1 species
UUGCGCCUGCGAAGGAUGCAGCGCCGCCCUUUCCGUGCCUUGCAGGCGGCCGGUCGGCGUACCGUCUCGUGAACCGCAAUUUUGCGGAUUCAAAUUCCUUC